rnacentral:rRNA from 1 species
AUUGAACGCUGGCGGCAGGCCUAACACAUGCAAGUCGAACGGGAACAGGUCUUCGGAUGCUGACGAGUGGCGAACGGGUGAGUAAUACAUCGGAACGUGCCCGAGAGUGGGGGAUAACGAGGCGAAAGCUUUGCUAAUACCGCAUACGAUCUCAGGAUGAAAGCAGGGGACCGCAAGGCCUUGCGCUCACGGAGCGGCCGAUGGCUGAUUAGGUAGUUGGUGGGAUAAAAGCUUACCAAGCCGACGAACUGUAGCUGGUCUGAGAGGCCGACCAGCAAGACUGGAACUGAGACAGGGGCCAGACGCCUACGGGAGGCAGCAGCGGGGAAGUUUGGACAAGGGGCGCAAGCCUGAACCAGCAAUGCUGCGUGCAGGAUGAAGGCCUUCGGGUUAUAAACUGCUGUUGUACGGAACGAAAAGGCCGGGGUUAAUACCCUGGGGUCAUGACGGUACCGUAAGAAUAAACACCGGCUAACUACGUGCCAGCCGCCGCGGUAAAAC